UCUAACGGAGGACAUGACACAAAACCGAGCGCAAUGGCGUUCUAGGAUUCAUAUAGCCGACCCCACUUAGUGGGAAAAGGCUUUGUUGUUGUUGUUGUUGUUGUUCAUUGGAAUGUUGAUUGUUACAUCAGUUCGUGGAUUCUUGACAAAUUUAAUGAAGGUAAUCCUUCUUAUGCCUGCCUUACUAUUUAUUCUUAUUUAAGUUGGAGAACCACAAUCCGCUGAUUGGAUUUCUUGAGACUGACUUUCAAAAUGCAGUCUGCAGUUUCUAGAGGGAAAAGAAAUGAGUUCUGAAUGCUUGCUUCUUUUUUUUCUUGACCGAGUUGCAUACAAAAGGGGUAGGCCACUGUAUUAAGGAACUCAGGAGCUGAAAGUUGAAACUUGAAAGACAGUUUUUCUGGAUCCGGAGAUAAGAACCAGAUGUCCCACAUUGGUCUUAGGUUGUACAUGCUAGUGCCACAAUUAUAUCAAGAAAAUAAAUGAAUUGAGCUGACCCAGGCCUUAGUCCCCUAUUAAUCACUUUCUGGGAAUAGGCCUUAGUCCCAUUUUAAUCAUUUUCUGGGAAUAGGCCUUAGUCCAUAGUGGUCUGUGGUUGUUGAAGAGCAACUGAUGGAAACAUAAAACAUCAUUUUUACGGUUUAACUUUCUUUCUGCUGUGCACAGUUCUUUUUUGCAGUUUCCAGAGUUGGAAGUAGAUCUUCUAGCAAUGUUGUAUUGUUUCUCUCUGAAAUUAUGGGAAUGUACUUUGUGUCCUCUAUUCUAUUGAUAAGGAAAAGCUUGGCGACUGAGUACAGAUUUUCCAAAUGAUGGCCUUCAGAAGUUUUUUGGUCUUGUGUCAUAUAAGCUUGAUCGCAUUCAGUCCGUCAUUUAGGUAGCUUCUGAGCUGAUGAAUGAGUAGUAAAGAGUGAGCCAUUAUCUCUUGGCAGGUUGAUCAUAACAGAUGUAUUGGGUGGAGAUAUUCAGUUUGACUUCUAUCACCGAUGGUUUGAUGCAAUCUUUGUGGCCAGUGCUUUCUUUUCUUUGCUUUUGCUUUCUGUACAUUUUACUUCUCGGAAAGCUGACAAACACCCGAUUGAUUAAUGGCAAGUAUGUAACAAAUUUACCUUUUGAAUUUAAAAAAGAAUAAGAAUUGGAUCAAAUGUAAAGGUUAAAUUGUUUGUUUAGACUAUUGCGAGCUUAUAUGCCAGGAUUUUAAUGAGAAAAGAAGAAAACUAUGGAUUUUAAAUGACUGAUUACAUAAUAGUUACUUCAAAUUCAUUUCAAAUAUAAUUCAUUUAGUUAUCUGAUAUCCACUCAGUCUAAUUAUUCUAUGAAGUAAUUUGUAACCUAGGUAUCUUUUGUUGUAGCAUGCCAAUUGCUUAAGCAUAUGCAAGAUGUUUUGGAUAUUGAUUCUCAAAUAUGGACAAGUGCUAAAUGGUAUGUUGGAGCUAAUUUUUCUGACAUGAUCGACCAAAGGAUGAGGAAUCCGAAUGGAUUGCAUCCAACAACAGUCGGUUGUCAUGUUGAUGGCGGGGAUGGUUUUAAACAGACCGGGCCGAAGGGCUGCCUGGUAUUGUAUGCUGAGAAUGGGAAGGGGAAAGGAAAGGAUGAAGGAGGUGCUGUUGAAUCUGGCAACCAUAAGAGUUGCUCCUCCAUCCUUAUUAGUUUGUUUGUCGUAUGCUUUUUGCCAUAAUGCCAUCAUUGCCACGUACAGAUUCUCUACUUUUUCCUCUUAACGCUCGAAUUCUUCCUACACUUUGGAUUUAGUCCCAUACACACAUAUAUAUAUAUAUAUAUAUAUAUAUUUUGCUUUAGAAUAUUUCAAAGCAAGAAGGGUACUAGUACUAAAUAUCUCAUUAAUAAAAGUGCACUGUGACGGGGA